rnacentral:rRNA from 1 species
GACGUAGGGGGCAAGCGUUAUUCGGAAUUAUUGGGCGUAAAGCGCUCGUAGGCGGGACGGGAAGUCCGUGAAGAAAGACCUGGGCUCAACUCAGGGACCGGCACGGAUACUCUCGUUCUUGAGGCAAUCAGAGGGUGAUGGAAUUCCCGGUGUAGCGGUGAAAUGCGCAGAUAUCAGGAGGAACACCGGUGGCGAAGGCGGUUCUCUGGGCAUUACCUGACGCUGAGGAGCGAAAGUGUGGGGAGCGAACAGG